AGCAGCCGCGGUAAUUCCAGCUCCAAUAGCGUAUAUUAAAGUUGUUGCAGUUAAAAGCUGUAGUUGAACUUUGGGGUUUACUCAUUGGUCAGGCUUAAUUGUCUGUACUGGUGAGAUGAUCUCUACCUUCUGAGGAACUUUAUGCCAUUUAUUUGGUGUGAUUGCAUGGAAUAAUGAAUAGGACGGAUUGAUUCUAUUUCGUUGUU
rnacentral:rRNA from 1 species